ACCGCCGCCCGUUAAAGAGACACCGCCGCCGGGAGCGACAACGCAGCGUCGAGGUCCCCGAGAUGGUCCCGGUCCUCGCGGCACCGAACGGCAGCGACCAGGACACUGGCAAAAGGCAAUCCCUGUGCUGAACCCUCUUGGCUGAUAGCCUUGGUCCCACUGGCAGCCCCCAAUACAGAGGUGUGCAGUGGGGAUGAUCCAGCAUCCCAACAAGCUGUGUGAGCCUGCACUGAGGGAAGUGCAGAUGUUUUCACUGCCCCAUUUAUUCCUGUGUUGCCCAGCUCUGCACCCACUCAGCAACUCCAGAAUGGGGCCCUGCUCCCCAAACUGGAAGGGAUAGGUUUAGGCAUAAUGCUUAACCCCUUCCCAUUACAGUACUGUAGUGGGAUAAGCUAGGCUGGCUGCCACCCGGCCAGGCCCUGGGGACGCUGAUGUAACUGCCAGGAUCUGGCUGCCUCCAUUAUUUAUAAGGCAGGUCGGAUUUCGUGCUGGCAAUGGAGAGUAUCUGGGGGGAGGAUGUACACACACACAUACACACUCAUAAUCCCACCCCACAGCUGGAAGCGCUGCAUCCCCACAGCACAACUGGCUCUGUCCCAUGUGCAAAGGGAGGACAGCAGCCAUGGGGGUGAUGGAGUGGGGAGCUGGUGGGGCUGAGGGCUGCUGGCACUCAGGUGUAUCCCUUGUGCGGGCACACAGCAGCCUCAGCCAUCCCCCAUCCUGCCCAGCAGGUGACAACUGCAGGACAAGGGGCUGGAGGGAUCAGCGAGCAGCACAUGUGGGGCUGUGGCCUUUUCCAUGUCACACAUCUGUCCCUCAGUGACCCCGGUGAGAGCCUGGUGGUCCUUCCCUGUAUGAUGCCGUGUCCCCACAGGGAUGUUCUCACGGGGACAGUCACCCAGCAGCAGCCCCUAUGUGUGCAGCGGGUGGCAGUCCUCCCAGCUCCCACCCCUACUACCCACAUGGGCUCUGGAGUCGGUCCCCACGUUAUGGGCCGAGCAUCCCUGGGCCAGCUGGGCCAUGGGUACCAAAGCUGGACCGCAGUGCGCAGGGUGCCGUCGCUGCAGCAACCGCGGUCGCCUAGCGAUGGCUGUCUCCCGGUAACCCGUCGCCUAGCGAUGGGGGAUUUUUCACAGCUCUGGAUGAAGAGAUGCGGGUUAUUUUUAGCCCGCCUGCAAAUCAAUAGGCAGCUCCAUUCGCCGCCGGAGAGGAUGCACGUGCCAGGACAGCCUUACUGGCUUCUGCUUUGGGGGCUGACGGUGAUGGGGACAACCUGGGGACACCGCCUUCGGUGCAGCCCUACUGCUCCUAGUGGGGCUCAGCCCCCUGCUGUCCCCAUCUGGGGGGCAAUAUCCUCCAGGUCUUGAAGACAGGUGAGGGCAGAACCCAGAGGUGGGGACCCUCAUCCUGCUGUGGGUUCACUCACCUGGCCAUGAGGACCCUCUCCCAGCCUGAAGGACACCUGUCCUGCCAUGGGGACCCUCCUCUGGCCAUGGGGAACCUCAUCCCACUGCUGAGUGCCCUCACCCACACCUGGGAUCCUCAUCCUGACCUGGGAACCUUCUUUCACUUGCAGACACCUAAUGCCAAAAUGAGAUCCCUCACCUGGCCACGUGGACCCUCACCCAGCUAAUGAGGAAUCUUGUCCUUACAUGAGGACCUUCACCUGGCCAUGGGGUCCACCAUUGCACUUCAGUGACCUUCACUCAGGGACCCUGCCCCACAGCGGAGCCCCUUGGCAUAAUGUCCCCCUCCUGACAUCCCUCAGUACACUGUGAGGGGACAAGGAUACACAUAGGGCCAGGGACCAGGGCACUCAGUGUCUUGGGAUCCAGCGAGGCUGGGAGCUGAUGUGAGGCCUCCUGAGCUAUUUUUUGGGGAUGGUGUGGGUGCCUGACGCAGACUCAGUUCCGACGGGCUUUCUUGGCUCAGUGGGAGCAGCUCCCCACGCAGCCACAGCUUCAGGAGGGGAUGGGGAGCCCCAGCCUCUGAGCAGCCCUUCGGGGUCAGGCCCCAGCCCCUUCCUCUCUGAGAUGCCCCUGCAGCUCCCCGCCCACCCCACAGCACCUCUGCCUCCCCAGGAGUCCUUCUGCCCACCCUACUCCACCGUGUCCUGUGUUGGUGUAUGGGCAGAGCUGAGGCAGGAUCAGGCCCAGAGCUGUCGACCCCAAAUCCCUGCUUGGGGGGGGUGUCGGGGGUAGGGGGGGUGCAGAGCCGUGUCCGCAGUCACAAGAGGGCACUGCGAGCCCGCAGCAUCCCGGCCCUGGGGCUCAGAGAAGCUCGGGGACCCCCAGCGACACGAGAGCCGGGCCCUGGGCAGCCAACCCCACGGGGGUGACAAUGGCAGGAUGUCCCCAGCACAGGGACAUGUAAUCCCUCGUGGCUGUGGUGGUGGUUGCUGCGUGGUGGCCCCUGCAGCAGGUGGGUGGUUGAGGUGGGGGGACUGCAGCACCACGUAAUGGGGACAGGGGGGACACUGGAGGUGACUUGAGGUGAUGGCUCAGAGACUCAGCCUGGGGACAAGACCUGGAGACGUGGCCAUGGGCAGAGCUCCUGGACCAAGAUAUUUCAGUUGGUGGCACCUCUGGCUGCCCCCAGGGAUGCUUCACCCCACCAGGGCUCACUGAGCAAUGAGUGGCUUUGGGCUGUGUGUGCUGCACAGGGCUUUGCUCCUUCCCAGUUCAGCCCAGUAUGGUCUCAUUUCAACUCAUUUGGCCCAGUUCAGGUCCAGUUCAACUCAUUUCAGCCCAGUUCGACCCACUUCAGGCCCGGCUCUGGGAGCUCGGUGGGCAGCAGCCCUGACCCUGCUGCCUUUGUCCAUCUCCCACAGCAUCCACCCUCUCCCGGCCUUAAUUUUCCACGGAUUCCAUCAGAUUGACUUCUUUCAGUGUCAUUUCAUGGCCGGAGGGCUCUGAAUCCCUCUCCCCCCCCACCUUCCCUCCUCGUGCCCGUCCCCCUCCUCUUCCCCUCCUUUCUCUUUCUUUCUGCCAUCCAAAUUUACAAUCCCUCAUUUCCAUUCCGCUCCACCCUCUCUCCGGGGACUUUGUUCUCCGCCUGUAUCAUCGCACAGCAAUUGUUCCGUGUUUAUUUCAAACAUUUUGGCGGGCUGUCACUCGAUGGAAACUUAAUUAAUUGCAGGGUUUGUGAGCCCGGCACAAUGGUGUCUGAAGGGAAAAUAAAAUCAAAUGCCAUAA